GCCUCAGCCUGCAGAGUGCCUGGGAUUGCAGGCGCGCGCCGCCACACCUGACUGGUUCUUGCAUUUUUUGGUGGAGACGGGGUUUCACCGUGUUGGCCGGGCUGGUCUCCAGCUCCUGACCGCGAGUGAUCUGCCUGCCUCGGCCUCCCGAGGGGCCGGGAUUGCAGACGGAGUCUCGCUCACUCAGUGCUCCAUGUUGCCCAGGCUGGAGUGCAGUGGCGUGAUCUCGGCUAGCUACAACCUCCACCUCCCAGCCGCCUGCCUUGGCCUCCCAAAGUGCCGAGAUUGCAGCCUCUGCCUGGCCGCCACCCCGUCUGGGAAGUGAGGAGCGCCUCUGCCCGGCCGUGACCCCGUCUGGGAACUGAGGAGUGUCUCUGCCCGACCGCCACCCCAUCUGGGAGGCCCAGCAUCCAAUUCAGUCGCCUUCAAGGAGUCUCUUCAGUCUAAUUUAUUCUAGAACAAUUCUUCAGGCUUCCCUUCUCUGGCCAAGAUUUUUGAAAAAUACAGGUCAAUGACUUUGUAGGUUGUCUUCAGUUUGGAUUUGUCUGCUGUGUCCUCAUGAUUUAUGCAUCUCUGGCAGGAAUACCACAGAAACGAUGCGACAUUCUUCUCAGUGUACCAUAUUAGGAGUCACACAAUGUCAACUUGUCCCAUUACUGCUGAUGUUAAUGUUUACCACUUGGCUAAGAUGAUGUCUGCCAGGUUUCUCCACUGGAAAGUUAACAGUGGCUGACGCUUCGUGAGCGAUGCUGGUUGUCACCAAGUCACUGGUGAAACUGGGAGAGCGCCCCUGGUGAGACGGUGUGAGGAUUCAUGCAAAGCACGUGACAGAGGGAGUUUCAGGAAGUGAAGCUGUCCUGUGUUGCUGCUGUUUUAUUAGUAACAGCAAGCUGCCCAGGCCCACACGAGGCAGGGCCAUUUCUUGUUCACCACAGACACACCUGUGUCCAGAGUGCACAUAAGACAAGCCACUGCUCUGAGGGGGAGCUCCUGGCUGGGGGGAUUCCAGGACCUAGAUCUGUGAAGCCACCUGCCUCGGACAUCAUGGAGGAGGAUGGCAGUGUUCGGAGGCUCAGGAAGCGCAGCACCGUGCCCGGGUGGCAGUUGGCCUGGAGUCUAUGCAAUGUGGGGUGAACCAGGACCACUCUCUGGGACGUCCACCCAGGAGAGCCAGGAAGGUGUUCCAGGCUGGGCCCCAAGGCCUCUCUGUAGCCUCCUGAGGCCAUGUAAGGACCCAACCUGUCCUGGCCCAGAAGUCAGAUUCCUCAGCCAAGGAGUUGCAGGGACAAGGAGAGGUGGCCAGUGUGGUGGGAGGACGCCUUUGUUGGUGGGAGGACGCCUUUGUUGGUGGGAGGACGCCUUUGUUGGUGGGAAGACGCCUUUGUUGGUGGGAGGAUGCCUUUGUUGGUGGGAGGACGCCUUUGUUGGUGGGAGGAUGCCUUUGUUGUAGGUAUUUUCUCAACGGUGGGGCUGGGCUGCCUGCCAGGUGCCAGGGCGCGGCUCUGGCCUCCCGCUGCACAACCCACUUUGCCGCCAAGCCCUGUACCCGGCCCAGCAGCUCCUUCCCGCGCUUCCGCUGCCAGUCCCGGGAAAGUGAGAGGCAGGAUGUGUUGGGCGGGCUGAGCAGGCUGGUUCCCAGCCCACCUGGCCUCAUGCUUCUGGCAAGGAUCCUGAGCCUAGACAGGAGAAGGGACUCACUCAGGGCCCUCUUGGUGCUUGGCAUUUAGAACUGCAUUCUUCCAAUUAAAAAAUAUGUACAAACUUUUGCUCAAUAAAAUGUGAUAAAACUGC
rnacentral:lncRNA from 10 species